rnacentral:rRNA from 1 species
UACAGAGGGGGCGAGCGUUGUUCGGAAUUACUGGGCGUAAAGGGCGCGUAGGCGGCCAACUAAGUCAGACGUGAAAUCCCUCGGCUCAACCGGGGAACUGCGUCUGAUACUGGAUGGCUUGAAUUCGGGAGAGGGAUGCGGAAUUCCAGGUGUAGCGGUGAAAUGCGUAGAUAUCUGGAGGAACACCGGUGGCGAAGGCGGCAUCCUGGACCGAGAUUGACGCUGAUGCGCGAAGCCAGGGAGCAACGGG